GUCGUGUUUGACUGAGCCCCAUUAUAGUUUUAGGAAAUAUUUUUUUUUAGUUACAAUAUGUCAAAUGUAUAAAUAUUACUUUAAACCUUUAAUUGUGUAUCAGCUGAUGGUGUAAUGGUUAGGCUGUUCGGCUUGAAACUUUGUGUGUCUGUUCUAACCUCGCCAUAUGAAUGAUAUUUUGGCAUGUUUAAUCCAUGCUUAAGUAUUCAAUUUAUGUGGAAUAAGUUGAAAUUAAUCUAUUUUAAGUCGUAAACAAUUUCUUUUUUACAUUAAAUUGUGUCGUGUUUGACUAAGGUCCAUUCAAAUUAAGCUUAUGAUUAUUCUUUUUUUAUUUCAAUAUGUCUAAUGUAUAAAUAUUAUUUUUAACACCAUUUUGUUCAUGAGUUCAUGUCGUUAUGGCUAGGCUGUUAACUCCUACACUACAUACACGGUAUGUGGGAGUGUUCCAAUCUCAGCAUUCUCUUUUUUUUUUUGCUUCUUUAAUCUUCAGUUUAUGUAAAAUAAGUUGAAAUUAAUCUAUCUCAAUCCAUAAACUAUUUCUAUUUAACAUAUAAUUGUGUCGUGUUUUACUGAGCCCCAUUCUAUUAAGUUUUAGGAAAAAUUUUCUUUAUUUCAGAAUGUCAAAGCAUAUAUCAUAGAAGAGGUAAUUUCAUUUCCCAUCAGGGAUAGAUUCUCCUCUGACGGGAAAUCCCUUAAAUAUACAGUGUGGGCAAUUGUGGACAACAAAAUAUGUCAGAUUUUCAGAUUCAGAGAAAAA
rnacentral:lncRNA from 1 species